CUGCUUAUGGCAAGUCCUGCAGGAUUGUGUGCUGGGAGUCCUGGGUGUAGCUGAUUCAAUAUUGUAUGGGGCCCAGGCUCUGCUUAUGGCAAGUCCUGCAGGGUUGUGUGCUGGGAGUCCUGGGUGUAGCUGAUUCAAUAUUGUAUGGGGCCCAGGCUCUGCUUAUGGCAAGUCCUGCAGGGUUGUGUGCUGGGAGUCCUGGGUGUAGCUGAUUCAAUAUUG